CUGAUUUGCUUAAUUGCACCACAUGUGUUUUUCUUUGAAACAAACUUGCUUUGGCGGUGGGCCCAGCCUGCCGCCAGAGGUCUAAACUUACAACCAAUUUUUUAUCAACUUGUCACACCAGAUUAUUACUAAUAGUCAA